AAAAUAUAUUUAAUUAACACUGGUAUAAAAGUAACUGAAAAUACCGAUGUGAUUAUGAUUUGAUUAAAUUGAAAUUACAGUCAAAAAGAAGACACCACGACUAACUUCAGCUGAAAAAGCGCAAAGAUAUAGAGACAGGUUAAAAAAGAAUCCUCAAAAAUUCGAAGAAUACAGAAGGAAGAAUUUAGAAAGAAUGAAAUUGAAAUAUAAAUAUAUAAAAAUAAGUCAAAUGUCAGAAGAAGAAAAAGAAAAGACAAGACGAUUAUGGAGGGAGCAAAAAAGAAGAAAAAAGAAUAUUGAGACGCUAUAAAAAAACGUUCAAUUAAUUUGAAAUUGUUAAUUGAAGUUUCUUUGUCGAUCACAGUAAUGAUGAUCACAAAAACUCGUAAUUGUGUUAAAUUUUUUAUUAUUAUAUGUUAUAAAUGCGAAAGUUUGUAAAGAUGGACAGAAGUUUGUUACUCUUUCACAAAAAAAUACUGAAUGGAUUUAAACAAAUAUUGGCCAUCGGAUAGGUUAUAGCCUAACUUAGUACGUAGGACACUUUAUAUAAUGAGCCACAGGAGCAGAGUCACGAGAUACAGCUAAAAGUAUCUAAAGAUAUCAGUUCAGAAUAUAUAGAAUGCAUUUUUUAUCGGAUUUAGGAAGGCUGAUUAUUACGCCUCUGAUAUAUUGGAAUUAUUCCUUAGUUUUAUCGAUUCUCUUCAAAAAAUGAACUCAGAACUGGAAAAGAAAAGAAAUAUUUGGUAGAUUUUAAUUACUGAACUAUAGAAAACAUGUUUUCUGGUUAAACGACAUCAGAUAACUAACGUAAAAAUAUUUAUAGUAGUUAUUUUAAAUUUUACUUGUGUUUAUUUCUUAAUUAAUAACUAAAUCAAAACAAAAUUGCAACUUCAAAGAUUAACUUUGAAAAUAUUUCCACAAUAACACUAUUAUGGUUUUAUGAUAUUUACGUUUACCAGAGGGAGACUUUGUACAAAAGUAAAUUGCUUGGAUACCUCUGUCCCAUUCGUGUUUCAACCGUGAAGCAGUUGUGUUUGCAUGGCUGUGUUUCGGUUUGAAGGGUGGGAUAUAGCGUGAAUUUACAGGGUACAGAGGAAUAACACCUGAGUUCUCACGAAUGGCAACGCAUGGGGGGAAUCAUGGGCGAAACAGUAUACUCUGUUAUGUCCAUGGUACUGCUCAUGUCUAUAGGCGACGGUUACCACUUUCCAUCAGGUGGACCGUCAGCUUGUUUGCCAUUCUAAGAUGUAUAAAAAAAAAAUUACCAAGAGUCGGCAAAUAACAAUAAACUGUUUGCGAUUGUACUGAAGAUAAGUAUUUUGCGGUGUUAUACAAACAAUGAAACCUAAAUGAUCUCUUUAAAAUGUAUUGUUUGUAACUUCAACAAAAUGCAAAUGGCCAAUUACUUUUGGGCGGAAGUGUAUAAAUAAAAUGUCAUCAUAAUGUUGUUCCUAAUAGAAUAUGACGCUUAUAUACCUGUUAUUUAAUUAAAACAUUUACUUUGAACAUUAUAUACUCCCGAAUUGAUAUUAACGUUAAAUUUUAUUAUGUUAAAACAUAUAACAUUUGAAUAAGGAAGUACAAUACUUAUUACUACUAAAGCGAAUUUCAAAUACCGAAGAUCGAUAUAAACUCAUAAACGACACAAAUAUACAAACGACUAUAAUUCUAGAUAAGGUAGACAGAGUCGAUUGUGACCAUGUUGGUGAAAAUAGCAUUUGAUAUCUUCUCAUUUUGCUGAACAUGCUGCCUUUAAAACACAAUGUGAAAGGAUGAUGAAUUUACCGCCAUCUGUUGGUAGGCGAAUUAUUUUGGUUUAUUACAUUAAACAGAAGCUUGACUGAAGUUUGUAAUUUAAAUUGAAACACAAAAUAUUGGAUGACUAUAAUCCCAUGCAAAAUAUUAAUUUCAUUGAAUCAAGAACUGGCACGAGAUUGCUUAUGCUUAACGGGUAUACUUUCCACAAGGUUUUAGAAAACAAGUUCUCUCAAAGGGAAAGGUGGAGGUGUUCCAGUAAAAAGAAGGGUUGUAACGCAUUCAUUGUGUUAUCCAGUUACGAUGACAGCAUGGUCAGAUGUUCAGAAGAUCACAAUCAUUACCCACCAGCGUAUAUAUGUAAGGAUGGCUCGUAUAUUAAAGUGUAAACUGGAACGUGAAAUAUUAUUAAUACUCUAAAAAUCUUAAAAUUACACCAUUAUCUAUCGUCUACUGUUUUUUUAUACCACAGGAGGUAAAUGAGCAUGCAGCUUAUCUGAUGGUAAGUGACUACCACCGGUCGUGAUUAGGCUAUUUAAAAAAGAAUGUGUUUUUUUUUUUAAAGUUGCCAUGUCAUGUCUGUUUGGAAAUACUGCUGCUGAAAGUUGAUUCCAAAGUUGAUGCCAAACAUAAUCAUGGGCUUUCCAUUUUUGUCAUCAAGAACCGAUCCAGUCCAGUAAAAUUAAUUACAUUGAAUGAUGGUAGAAUACUUCUAAUGGUCGAAGGUUAUACUUUUCAUAAAAACACCGCACUUUUGCGACACGGGGAGACGAGGUGGUUUUGCUCGUCGCGCAAGAAAAAAUGUCCAGUAUACCAUAUUGUAAAUGCAAACUGCACCACCAUUUUGAGAUCUCACGGUGCACACAACCAUAUGCCGCCUACUUACCUUGUCAGAAAUGGUUAUUAUGUUAAAAUGUAGCUGACAAUAAAAUAAAUAUAUACAAACAUUGUCACUUACUACUAUUAUUAUUUAUGUCAAGAACGCCCUCUCGUGCCAAGAGUUUUUUACCAUCUAACAUAUCUUUUUGGACAGCAGAUUUAUUUACUUCGUAACGCUCGCCGUAAAAAUAGCAUUUGACGUUGUCAUUAGAAAUUAUAACAGCCCUCCUAGACAAAGUAUAAAUUAAUCUAUUGAUAGAAUUGUUAUCGCUAGCGAUUCUAUGAGAUAGAAUGAGAUGGAAGCAUGUGCUCUCUUGCUUUUUCGUGUAAACGAAUCUAUUGACUUUUAGCAAUAUCGAUAGAUUCGUUUGCACCUUAUGUAUUAUACCUAUAUAUGUUAGCUUUUAACUUUCCACUGCUGAACAUAGGCCUACCCCUGUUGGGGA